rnacentral:tRNA from 1 species
UCUCGCGUAGCUCAGUGGCAGAGCGCCGUCUUGAUAAGGCGGAGGUCGGUGGAUCGUUCCCACCCGCGGGUACCA